rnacentral:rRNA from 1 species
GACGAACGCUGGCGGCGUGCUUAACACAUGCAAGUCGAACGGCAAGGCCCUGGUUUUGUGGGGUGCUCGAGUGGCGAACGGGUGCGUAACACGUGAGUAACCUGCCCUUGACUUUGGGAUCACUUCAGGAAACUGGGGCUAAUACCGGUUAGGAGCUCUUGCUGCUUGGUGGGGGUUGGAAAGUUUCGGCGGUUGGGGAUGGACUCGCGGCUUAUCUGCUUGUUGGUGGGGUAGUGGCUUACCAAGGCUUUGACGGGUAGCCGGCCUGAGAGGGUGACCGGCCACAGUGGGACUGAGAUACGGCCCAGACUCCUACGGGAGGCAGCAGUGUGGAAGAUUGCACGAUGGGCGGAAGCCUGAUGCAGCAACGCCGCGUGCUGGAUGACGGCCUGCGGGUUGUAAACCGCUUUCGCCUGUGACGAAGCGUGAGUGACGGUAAUGGGUAAAGAAGCACCGGCUAACUACGUG